CAGUCGCCACGGGAAUGCGAAGGGUGCAAGCGUUAAUCGGAAUUACUGGGCGUAAAGGGUGCGUAGGCGGUGAGUUAAGUCUGUUGUGAAAUCCCCGGGCUCAACCUGGGAAUGGCAAUGGAUACUGGCUCGCUAGAGUGUGAUAGAGGAUGGUGGAAUUCCCGGUGUAGCGGUGAAAUGCGUAGAGGUCGGGAGGAACAUCAGUGGCGAAGGCGGCCAUCUGGAUCAACACUGACGCUGAAGCACGAAAGCGUGGGGAGCAAACAGGAUUAGAUACCCCCGUAGUCCCUGUCUCUUAUAA
rnacentral:rRNA from 1 species